GUGAGCAGGAGGCCAGGGCAUAGCAGGGGGAGCUGCAGGGCCAUCAGAGGGGUCUCAGCGUCUGAGCCCUGUCCUCCCACAG
rfam:Macaca mulatta chromosome 7, whole genome shotgun sequence.